AACCAUUGCAUAAAGCAAUGCUGAACGUACAGAAGUCAGCAGAGGUCAUAGUAGCCGAGAGGUGAAGGAC
rfam:Environmental sequence s8_179792, whole genome shotgun sequence.